GUCAGCCCGACGCCGCGGGAGCCUAGGUAGUCAUCCAUCAGAAUAAUGACCAUUAAUGCGUCAUUCCGCCGGGCCGGACUGCCCUGGACGGCGCUCUAGGCAAGCCAUCCACAGCCUGAAGUGAGAUGCCAGCCAGAGACAGCCUGAGUCCGAGACACAAGGCAGAGAGAAUGAAGUACAAAUCAUAAUGGUCAUCACUCAGUGAACACACUCCCUUAAGCACCAUCCAGGAUGUUUAGCUGGUUUUUAAAGGAGAAAGAGACCGCUGAGAGAAAACACUGGAGUGGCAGCCCAGGCAGCCGUGCCUGCAGGAGGAUGCCUCCCAGCAGAACAGAGUCCUCACUUUCUGCACUUGAACUGUGUGUAAGAAAAUGAACCACCCAACUGGAAACAGGCACAAGAUAUCUUACUAGAAAAGGUCUCCAGAUGGUGGGCAAGCACAAGAAUGAAUGUCGGUGAGCUUCAGGACAGACAGGCAACUCCAGGAAGUCCAUCAGCUGACCUCGGCUCAUGUAUCAAAGUCCAAAGUUAUUCUUAAGUGAUGAAAUCAACCCCAAGCCACCCCUGCGUACGUCACUGCCUGAGCAGAGCCGCUGCCGUGGUGCACAGCCCUCCUGCAACUGGCUCUCCCCUAGGACUGCGUGAAGGCUGCCCUCAGGCUCCUGACAUCUGUGACUGUUCCUGCUCUUAGGCCCUCGGGGUAGCUAGGUUUUAAACAAAAGAUUCCCACACAUAUGACACUGCCUCUGAGUCAUCCUUGCAGCAAAAUAGAACUCUUUUCCCCUGCUGACCAAACCACCGGAAGAGCCAUCUCUUCUCCAAAACCUGCAACCAGACUUGAGGCUUGAGAAGUUAUGGGAAGAACUUACAG
ensembl:lncRNA